rnacentral:lncRNA from 1 species
UCUCAUUCUGCAUUCUCCAUGUUCCUUUUCCAAAUGGGAGCACAAGCAGGAAGCAUCAUCAGCUUCGUUGCUGUGACUCUGCUGUGACUCUUCUCUCCAAGGACAGUGUGAGACAAACCUCAGCCCAGGCCACUUUCUAUUGACGUGUUACUUCUUUCAUUGUUGUAAUAAAAUAUCGGGCCAAAGGAACUCAAGGAAGGGAAGAUGUUCAUACAGCUGUUCAUCGCGGUAGGGAAAGCAUGGCACAGUACAGUACGUGGAGCAAGGAGUAGUGAGAAUGGCGUAAAAAGGAAUAGGGGUGUGUGAAACCUGUAUAGCGGUGUGUUGCUAGUUAACCUAGGCAAUGUUAAAAAGACAUUAUCUAAAUGACUUCUCAUUGCUUCAUCUGAUCAUAUGAUCUAAUAUGACCAUCUGCCUCAUCUGUCUAAGUUAAUACUUUUGAAAGAGACUAUACCUUAUUCUCAUGCAGUGAAGUAGGUUGAACAUAUUAUCAGUGCAAGCAUCG